CACACUCCAAGCACUGCUUGAUGUUGGGCGAUGCGGCACCCUUCAGCGGGGGCUGCACGCCUGGAACGCGUGGGCGCCCGCUGCCGGACCGCGAACGUAGCAAGACAACUCGUCAAGUCGUUCUGCGGGCUCCGACGGGGGGCAGCCUCAUAAACCAUUUUAUAUCCA
rnacentral:misc_RNA from 1 species